rnacentral:rRNA from 1 species
AACGAACGCUGGCGGCAGGCUUAACACAUGCAAGUCGAACGAGAUCUUCGGAUCUAGUGGCAGACGGGUGAGGAACACGUGGGAACAUCCCUUUCAGUUCGGAAUAACGUUGGGAAACUAACGCUAAUACCGGAUACGUCCUUCGGGAGAAAGAUUUAUCGCUGAAAGAUUGGCCUGCGUCUGAUUAGCUAGUUGGUGAGGUAACGGCUCACCAAGGCUAUGAUCAGUAGCUGAUCUGAGAGGAUGAUCAGCCACGUUGGGACUGAGACACGGCCCAAACUCCUACGGGAGGCAGCAUUGGGGAAUAUUGGACAAGGGGCGCAAGCCUGAUCCAGCCAUGCCGCGUGAGUGAUGACGGCCUUCGGGUUGUAAAGCUCUUUUGUCCGGGAAGAUAAUGACUGUACCGGAAGAAUAAGCCCCGGCAAACUUCGUGCCAGCCGCCGCAGUAA